rnacentral:rRNA from 1 species
UUCCGGUUGAUCCUGCCGGACCUGACUGCUAUCGGAUUGAUACUAAGCCAUGCGAGUCAUUGUAGCAAUACAAGGCAGACGGCUCAGUAACGCGUAGUCAACCUAACCUAUGGACGGGAAUAACCUCGGGAAACUGAGAAUAAUGCCCGAUAGAACACUAUACCUGGAAUGGUUUGUGUUCCAAAUGAUUUAUCGCCGUAGGAUGGGACUGCGGCCUAUCAGUUUGUUGGUGAGGUAAUGGCCCACCAAGACUAUUACAGGUACGGGCUCUGAGAGGAGUAGCCCGGAGAUGGGUACUGAGACACGGACCCAGGCCCUAUGGGGCGCAGCAGGCGAGAAAACUUUGCAAUGUGCGAAAGCACGACAAGGUUAAUCCGAGUGGUUUGUGCUAAACGAACCUUUUGUCGGUCCUAGAAACACCGAUGAAUAAGGGGUGGGCAAGUUCUGGUGUCAGCCGCCGCGGUAAAACCAGCACCUCAAGUGGUCAGGAUGAUUAUUGGGCCUAAAGCAUCCGUAGCCGGCUCUGUAAGUUUUCGGUUAAAUCUGUACGCUCAACGUACAGGCUGCCGGGAAUACUGCAGAGCUAGGGAGUGGGAGAGGUAGACGGUACUCGGUAGGAAGGGGUAGAAUCCUUUGAUCUAUUGAUGACUACCUGUGGCGAAGGCGGUCUACCAGAACACGUCCGACGGUGAGGGAUGAAAGCUGGGGGAGCAAACCGGGAUUAGAUACCCGGGUAGUCCCAGCUGUAAACUAUGCAAACUCAGUG